rnacentral:rRNA from 1 species
AGAGUUUGAUCCUGGCUCAGGAUGAACGCUAGCUACAGGCUUAACACAUGCAAGUCGAGGGGCAGCAUGAACUUAGCUUGCUAAGUUUGAUGGCGACCGGCGCACGGGUGAGUAACACGUAUCCAACCUGCCGAUGACUCGGGGAUAGCCUUUCGAAAGAAAGAUUAAUACCCGAUGGCAUAAUUCUUCCGCAUGGUAGAACUAUUAAAGGAUUUCGGUCAUCGAUGGGGAUGCGUUCCAUUAGGUUGUUGGCGGGGUAACGGCCCACCAAGCCUUCGAUGGAUAGGGGUUCUGAGAGGAAGGUCCCCCACAUUGGAACUGAGACACGGUCCAAACUCCUACGGGAGGCAGCAGUGAGGAAUAUUGGUCAAUGGACGAGAGUCUGAACCAGCCAAGUAGCGUGAAGGAUGACUGCCCUAUGGGUUGUAAACUUCUUUUAUAAAGGAAUAAAGUCGGGUAUGUAUACCCGUUUGCAUGUACUUUAUGAAUAAGGAUCGGCUAACUCCGUGCCAGCAGCCGCGGUAAUACGGAGGAUCCGAGCGUUAUCCGGAUUUAUUGGGUUUAAAGGGAGCGUAGGCGGACGCUUAAGUCAGUUGUGAAAGUUUGCGGCUCAACCGUAAAAUUGCAGUUGAUACUGGGUGUCUUGAGUACAGUAGAGGCAGGCGGAAUUCGUGGUGUAGCGGUGAAAUGCUUAGAUAUCACGAAGAACUCCGAUUGCGAAGGCAGCUUGCUGGACUGUAACUGACGCUGAUGCUCGAAAGUGUGGGUAUCAAACAGGAUUAGAUACCCUGGUAGUCCACACAGUAAACGAUGAAUACUCGCUGUUUGCGAUAUACAGUAAGCGGCCAAGCGAAAGCGUUAAGUAUUCCACCUGGGGAGUACGCCGGCAACGGUGAAACUCAAAGGAAUUGACGGGGGCCCG